rnacentral:rRNA from 1 species
CCUACGGGUGGCUGCAGUGGGGAAUAUUGGACAAUGGGGGCAACCCUGAUCCAGCCAUGCCGCGUGUGUGAAGAAGGCCCUCGGGUUGUAAGGCACUUUCAGUGAGGAAGAACGCCUGGUGGUUAAUACCCAUCAGGAAAGACAUCACUCACAGAAGAAGCACCGGCUAACUCCGUGCCAGCAGCCGCGGUAAUACGGAGGGUGCGAGCGUUAAUCGGAAUUACUGGGCGUAAAGCGCGCGUAGGUGGCUUGAUAAGCCGGUUGUGAAAGCCCCGGGCUCAACCUGGGAACGGCAUCCGGAACUGUCAAGCUAGAGUGCAGGAGAGGAAGGUAGAAUUCCCGGUGUAGCGGUGAAAUGCGUAGAGAUCGGGAGGAAUACCAGUGGCGAAGGCGGCCUUCUGGACUGACACUGACACUGAGGUGCGAAAGCGUGGGUAGCAAACAGGAUUAGAUACCCCGGUAGUC